GCUUUUUUUUUUUUUUUGCCCAGUCUCCACACAACCCCUGAGAGAUCUCCUCAAAUUGUUCUCAUCACCAAAUAGCCCUGCUAACAACCAUCUUCAAGAGGAAAGAACAUUAUUCCCACCAAGAAUGCUUUUCCCUUCAUGUUUACUUCAUCUAAGAAGGCACUAACUUUAUUUCAGGCAGGGUUUCAAAGAUAACAGAAAUUUUUCUGGACUUUGGAGAUCUUAGAGUUGAUAAAUGAGGCAGACUCCAGUGCAGGGUAUCAAUAUGGUAAAUGUUGCUAAUGAUAAUGUUCACUGCACACUUAAUGCAUGCCAGAAACUGUUCUUACAUCUUCAUGAUAGCUAGAGAAGUAAGACUACUAAUUGCCUUUUUCAUACAUGGGAAUCUAUAGCAACAUGAACAAAAUAUUUCACUCAAGUAAUAUAAGUGGCCAUAUUAGGAUUAAUAUCCAUGUCCUCUGGCUCCAGUGUCUAUGCUCUUGUGUAUAUGAGUGUGUGUGUGUGUGUUUACUGGGGAUUUAAUUACCACUGAGCUACAUCCCCUUCUCUUAUUUUUUAUUUUGAGACGGAAUCUCACUAUGUUGUCCAUCCUCCUGCCUCAGCCUCCUAAAUUCCUGGGAUUACAGGCAUACACCACCACACCCAGCUCUAAGUCUAAGGUACUGUAAGAACCAAUAGAGAGGGUGCACUUGUACAAAGGUAUCCUAGAAGCUAUGACCCAUCAGCUGAGUUUGGAAAGACAAUAGAGAUUUAGGGAAGAGAAUGAACCAAACUAAAUGCUUUUUCAAAAGUCCAGAGAGAAGCUAAGCACUGAGGAAAAUGAGCUAUGCACUGAGGUUAGAGGAUGAAGUGGAAGACCUGGGAUACCUGACUUUGUAUUGCAGAGUUCUGUAGGAGUUGGCAGCACUGAAAAUGUUUACAAGGGAGUCAUCAGAAAACCAUUGCAUUCAGAAGUGUCAACCUGGCACUUCUGCAGUGCAAAGUGAGCUGGAUGAUGAGGGCAAGAGGGAGGUACUACAAAACCCCAGAGAGGACCUACAUUGGGAAGUUUAGGAGUGACAACUCCCAAUCUCAACAAGCUGGGCUUUUUGUGACUUUGUUUAUACCAGUACAAGUAAUAACACAGUUUUUUGGUUUGGGGUUUUCUGUACCACAAUAUGGAAAUAUUAAAGACAGGAACUGAAUCUCUUCUUUAAUGUUCAUUUAGCACCAGACAUAUCAUUUUUUUGUAAAAUAGCACUUCCUACAGCCAUAACAGGACCAUAUCAUGCAAGCUUGAGCCCUAAGCAGGAAGGUUCUGUUUGUUUUGUUUCACAUUCCACUCACAGAUCCUGGAUAUCCUUGUGUCCAUGAGGUCAUGUGGCAGUGCCCCCUAGGUGACAUGUAGACUUGAAUGAGAUCUCCUGCUUUACAAGAUUGAUGGAAGAAGCCCACUCUUCCUUAUCAGGGUGCUAAAUUGAAUGGAUGAGGCUACAAGGUAAUUAAAAAUACCCCUUAAAGAAUUUCAGAAGAUGAGCCUUCUGUGCUUUGUUGUUCAGAGCAUCUCCCAACCUCCUGUUGCUGGUCCUACAAGAAUGAUUUUUUUCAUCAAAAAGGAAAAGGGUGUAGGGGUGUUGAAAAACCCCUUUAGGUUGGGAGCAGUGGCGCACAUCUAUAAUCCCACAACUUGGGAAGCUGAGGCAGGAAGAUAACAAGCUUGAAGCUAGCCUUAUUAAUGAAAAGCACUGGUGAUAUAGCUCAGGGGUAAAGUGCCCCUGGAUUUGGUUCCCAGUACAAAAAACAAAAAAACCUACAAGAUCCCUAAGAUUCCCAGUACUUCCUAGGAUUUAUUCGGCAGGAAAUGCCUUAAAAAAAAAAAAAAGAAAAGAAAAAAAAGGCCUGCCUUGUCAUGUUUUCAUAGCUGAGAGGUUAGGAAAUACAAAAGCCUGUGAUGUUAAGCUGAGUCUUGGCACUGUCUCAUUUCAGCCUCAAGGCAGACAUAACAUGGGCCAGAGGCAAUAUCAGCCCAGAUUCAACAAAACAGCCAGUAUGAGGCAGUGCAGACUAGGGUAUGGGCACAGAAAGGGAUAUGUUCUGGGUUGAGAUAAAUCUGAAUUUGAAUAAAGGUUUCUAUCAUUUUUAUGGCCAUGAGACCUGACAUAGGUUACUAAUUUCUCUUAGUUCAUUUCUCCAUGUAGAAUAAUCAGGAUGUUUGGGGGAUUUGAUGAACUAACUAUACAUAAGCAUCAUUCUUUUAAGAAAAUCAAUACAUGAUCAUUCUCAUCCCUUUUGCCUGAUUUCCUGUGCCAUAUAAUCUGCCAAUAGGUUAUAUCAAUCAGAACAAGAGCUUAGGGAAAUGAGAAUUUUAACACAAUAGAAAAUUAUUGUCCUAUAUUAAAAUCUAGGGAAAAUUUUUCUCUAUUUCCAGCAAAUAAAUGGCCACAGUAACUUGUUUGAAAGAACAAUAAGUGACUUGUAAAUAUACAGAGAAAUUUUAUUGUCUCAGUGGCUGAUUAGCCAUAGAGAAGAAACCUGCCUUAAUCAGAGACCUAUUUUGAAAAGCCAACCCAUAGAACUCCCAGGUUGGAGAAGGGAGGAAGAGCCACCCUGCCCUGAUCCUCUUUUGAGAUACCAGCCCUUGUGGGUUGUGAAGUCACUGGGAUGGUCCUCCCUCACUCCCCAAAGGUGAAGGCCACAUUUCUUAUCUAUAAGGCACUGCAUUUGACCUUUAGCUGGUCAAUGGCUCUUUAUCAGCACUCCUCCUCCUUCCAUAGCCUGAAUGGCAUUCCAUUACUUCCACUCCCAUUCAUUGUUUUCCAUGGAUUCCUUUUUUUGUUUGGUACUGAGGAUUGAACCCAGGGGUGCUUUGUCACUGAGCUACAUCUCUAGCCCUUUUUAUUUUUUGAGACAGGGUCUUGCUGAGUUAUUUAGGGCCUAAGUUGCUGAGACUUUCAUCAAAUUUGUGAUCCUCUGUCUCAGUCUGCCCAGUCACUGGGACUACAGGCAUGCACCACCACACUCUACUAGAUUCCUUUUUGUUUUGUUUUAUUUUUAAUUUAAUAGUAGUAGGGAUGGAACCCAGGGCCUGGGAUACGAGGCAAAUGCUAUCCUACUAAGCAACAUCCCCAGCCCAGAUUCCAUGUCAAAGCAGUUCUCAAACUUUGAGGUACAAAUAAAUCUGGGGAUCCUGUUAAAAGGCAGAUUCUGAUCCCCAAGGUCUGUAUUUCUAGCAAAGGCCCAAGUGAAGCUAAUCCUAUUGCCCUGCAGACCACCUUUGAAUAGCAAGGUUUUACAGUUCUAUAUACUUUUUUUGGUGGGGUGGUACUGGGAGUUGAACUCAGAGGCAGUAGACCACUGAGCCACUUCCCGAGCCUUAUCUUGUAUUUUAUUUAGAGACGGGGUCUCACUGAGUUGCUUAGCACCUCACCAUUGCUGAACUCGUGAUCUCCUGCCUCAGCUUCCAGAGCACUGGGAUUACAGGCAUGCUCCACCAUGCCCGGCAUGGUUUUAAAAUACUUCUCUCCAAACGGGCCUGGUUGAAAGUAAUAAUUGGUGCCCACAAUUGUUUUCACUAGGCACCCUUAUCCUUUAGAUAUGUGACAUGUUGAAAAUAUUCCAGGAACCCUCACCCCCAUUUUCACUUUGUAGUUUCUUGGUCACUAGGGUUCCCAACACAGCCCCACUGUCUUAGCCAGCAGAAGAACCCAGUCACCCAGAGGGUCCACAGUCAUUCUUACCCUAACAUUUCUGAACCCAAGUUUUCCAAAAUAAAAAGACCACAUUUGAUGUCUGAGGAAGACAGAAAAGAAAGGGAAAGACUCAUAUGAACCUUCCUUCCUUCUUUGAAUGGCUAUUUAAAGGUGUCAUGGGACCUUGCCUUUCUCAGGAGAUACGCUGUAUCUCUUUUUCUUUUUUUAAAUUGUGGUUGUGAUUUUCAAAAAAUGAAAUUUACCAUUUUUUAAUUAUAUAGCUCAGUGGCAUUAGGUACAUACACAUUAUUGUACAAUCAUCACCAUCAUCCAUUUCCAAAACUUUCUCAUCCUCUCAAACUGAAUCUCUGCUCUUAUUAAACACUUAAGACCCACCCUCCUAUCCCCCAGCUCCUGGCAACCACCAUUCUACUUCCUAUCUCUAUGACUUUGACCAUUCUAUGUACCUCAUAUAAUACACUAUUUGUCUCUUCAUGUCUGGUUUAGGAGAUUCAUUAAUUUUUUUUCUUCUUUAUCAUCAUGAGCCUUUGGCUUAAAUAUUGACCAGUUAUUACCAUCAUUGUUGACUCUGUGUUGGGGGGGGGGAUGGACACUGGAGACUAAACCCAGGGCUGAGCUACACCUCCAGGCAUUUUGAUUUUGAUUUUGAUACAAGGUCUCACUAAGUUGCCAAGGCUGGUCUUGAAUUCACGAUCCUCCCUCCUCAGCCUUCUGUGUAGCUGAGAUUACAGACAUGUGCCACCAUGCCUGGCACCCUUCUUCUUGAAACCUUUCCAAUGGAAUCCUUAAUUACUCAGCUAUGAAAUUGUCCUUUGAAGAUGUGUUGAUUGAUAGCUACUUAUGAUCAACUGGGGGCCAUUUCUAAGAAAAGCAUUAAAAGUUUGCACACUGCGCCAAUGUAGCCAAAGCUCUUUACAAAGACACUGAGCAGACACAUUAUAGCAAUAAUGAAACAUGUCAAAUCUUGUCCAAAAAAAUUGAGGCAAGCUGACCUAUUUGGUGCUGCAACAGACCUUUUCUUGGUCCUUGUUUCUUUAUUUUCCAAUAUUCCAUCCAUUUCUCACUGAAGCAACGGCUGGUGGCAUAUGCGUAUAAUCCCAACAACUCAGGAGGCUAAAGCAGGAGGAUUGCGAAUUCAAGGCACCCUGACCAAUUUAGCAAAAUCCUGUCUCAAAAUAAAAAGCACAAAGGGCUGUAGUUCUGUGGUUGAGUGCCCCUGGGUUCAAACCUGAGUAUCUCAAAAACAAAACAAAGCAAAAACUUUAUCCCAUGCCUACUAUAGAACCUUCCAAGACCAGGGAAUUCCAGAGUUGACACAACCUCUGUGGCUCAAGAGGUAGUACAAAUGCAAUUUGCUAAAAAUGAGUAAAGCAUGUGGAAGAUUACAGAGAGGCUGUAACAAAUGCAGUUGUUUUAUGAUUUCCUUUAGAUAUGUGACAUGUGGCAGGGUGGCUGUUAGUUCCUCAUCCUUAGGACACUCAAAUGGAGACUGGGCAAACCCAUUGCCAGAAGAGAUUUAUGCAUAACUCUAAUUAUUCUUCAUAAUUUAUGAAGGAUAAAAUAAAUCACCCCAUUCCUACCAGAUAAGAAUCUGUUAUUUUCCAGAGUUUCAUUUUUGAAGGUAAAUCUUUCAUAGUAGAGAAAGAUAGUAUUUACUUCAAACAAAGCAACUUAGCAUUAAUCAUUUUAUAGAGGAGAAAACCCAGACUGUUUUAGGAAAUUAUACUUUGCUCCUGACAUAGCAAAUUUCUAUGUAUCUUAAACUUAAAAACACUACAAAAAUUCAAACCACAGUUAUUUUCCUCCUGUUAGAGGAAAACAACAAAACAAUAUCAAGCCAGGUGCAGUGGCACAUGCCUGUAAUCCCAGUGACAGGGCAGGCUGAGGCAGGAUUAUCACAAGUUUGAAGUCAGGCUCUGCAACUUAAUGAGGCCCUAAGCAAUUUAGAAAGAUCUUGUUUCAAAAUAAAAAAAGAGCUGGGGAUGUGGCUCAGUGUGUAGCACCUCUGGGUUCAAUCCCCAGCACCCCCCCUGAAAAAAUCAAGUUUGUAUCAUAAAAGUGAAAUGAAUAAAUUUGGGCAUGUAAGUGAUCAAAAUAAAUCACUCUUUCUCACUACACAUGUGUUUGCAAUCAUUUAUUUUGUUGAUGUUGCUGCUGUUGCAGUGCUAAGGAUUGAACCCAGGGACGACUCACACAUGCUAGGCAAGUGUUGUGCCUCUAGCUUCACCCCAAGCCCUUAUGUUUGUUUAUUUU
rnacentral:lncRNA from 1 species